GACGAACGCUGGCGGCGUGCCUAAUACAUGCAAGUCGAGCGAAUCGAUGGGAGCUUGCUCCCUGAGAUUAGCGGCGGACGGGUGAGUAACACGUGGGUAACCUGCCUGUAAGACUGGGUUACCUUCGGGAACCGGGCGCUAAUACCGGUUACUUUUUUUCCUGGAUGGAGGGAAGAUGGAAAGAUGGUUCUGUUAUCACUUACAGAUGUACCGGCGGCGCAUUAGCUAGUUGGUGAGGUAACGGCUCACCAAGGCGACGAUGCGUAGCCGACCUGAGAGGGUGAUCGGCCACACUGGGACUGAGACACGGCCCAGACUCCUACGGGAGGCAGCAGUAGGGAAUCUUCCGCAAUGGACGAAAGUCUGACGGAGCAACGCCGCGUGAGCGAAGAAGGCCUUCGGGUCGUAAAGCUCUGUUGUUAGGGAAGAACAAGUACGAGAGUAACUGCUCGUACCUUGACGGUACCUAACCAGAAAGCCACGGCUAACUACGUGCCAGCAGCCGCCGUAAUAC
rnacentral:rRNA from 1 species